rnacentral:sRNA from 1 species
ACCCGGCCCGGCUCCCUCCCUGCCCGUCCCCGUCCCCCCACCCGUGCCAGCCCCCAGGAUGGGUGCCUCGAGCGCGUGCCGGACGCUGGUGUUGGCUCUGGCGGCCGUGCUCAUGGUGCCGCAGGCAGAGACCCAGGGCCCUGCGGAGCCGAGCUGGGGGAAUGCAGGGCACACCACGGACGGUGGUGCCCCGACGUCCUCGCCCACCCGGCGCGUGAGCUUUGUUCCACCCGUCACUGUCUUCCCCAGCCUGAGCCCCCUGAACCCGGCGCACAACGGGCAGGUGUGCAGCACCUGGGGUGACUUCCACUACAAGACCUUCGACGGCGACGUCUUCCGCUUCCCUGGCCUCUGCAACUACGUGUUCUCCGAGCACUGCCGCGCCGCCUACGAGGAUUUCAACGUCCAGCUGCGCCGAGGCCUGGUGGGCUCCAGGCCUGUGGUCACCCGUGUUGUCAUCAAGGCCCAGGGGCUGGUGCUGGAGGCGUCCAACGGCUCUGUCCUCAUCAACGGGCAGCGGGAGGAGCUGCCUUACAGCCGCACUGGCCUCCUGGUGGAGCAGAGUGGGGACUACAUCAAGGUCAGCAUCCGGCUGGUCCUGACAUUCCUGUGGAACGGAGAGGACAGUGCCCUGCUGGAGCUGGACCCCAAAUACGCCAACCAGACCUGUGGCCUGUGUGGGGACUUCAAUGGCCUCCCGGCUUUCAACGAGUUCUAUGCCCACAACACCAGGCUGACCCCGAUCCAGUUUGGGAACCUGCAGAAGUUGGAUGGGCCCACAGAGCAGUGCCCGGACCCGCUGCCCUUGCCCGCCGGCAACUGCACGGACGAGGAGGGCAUCUGCCACCGCACCCUGCUGGGGCCGGCCUUUGCGGAGUGCCACGCACUGGUGGACAGCGCCGCGUACCUGGCCGCCUGCACCCAGGACCUGUGCCGCUGCCCCACCUGCCCGUGUGCCACCUUUGUGGAAUACUCACGCCAGUGCGCCCACGCGGGGGGCCAGCCGCGUAACUGGAGGCGCCCUGAGCUCUGCCCCCGGACCUGCCCCCUCAACAUGCAGCACCACGAGUGUGGCUCACCCUGUGAAGACACCUGCUCCAACCCCCAGCGUGCGCAGCUCUGCGAGGACCACUGUGUGGACGGCUGCUUCUGCCCCCCAGGCACGGUGCUGGAUGACGUCACGCACUCUGGCUGCCUGCCCCUCGGGCAGUGCCCCUGCACCCACAGCGGCCGCACCUACAGCCCGGGCACCUCCUUCAACACCACCUGCAGCUCCUGCACCUGCUCCGGGGGGCUAUGGCAGUGCCAGGACCUGCCGUGCCCUGGCACCUGCUCCGUGCAGGGCGGGGCCCACAUCUCCACCUACGAUGAGAAACUGUAUGACCUGCAUGGUGACUGCAGCUACGUUCUGUCCAAGAAAUGUGCUGACGGCAGCUUCACCGUGCUGGCCGAGCUGCGGAAGUGCGGCCUGACAGACAACGAGAACUGCCUGAAAGCGGUGACGCUCAGCCUGGACGGCGGGGACACGGCCAUCCGGGUCCAAGCGGACGGUGGCGUGUUCCUCAACUCCAUCUACACGCAGCUGCCCCUGUCGGCAGCCAACAUCACCCUGUUCACACCCUCGAGCUUCUUCAUCGUGGUGCAGACAGGCCUCGGGCUGCAGCUGCUGGUGCAGCUGGUGCCGCUCAUGCAGGUGUUUGUCAGGCUGGACCCCGCCCACCAGGGCCAGAUGUGCGGCCUGUGUGGGAACUUCAACCAGAACCAGGCUGACGACUUCACGGCCCUCAGCGGGGUGGUGGAGGCCACGGGUGCAGCCUUCGCCAACACCUGGAAGGCCCAGGCCGCCUGUGCCAAUGCCAGGAACAGCUUUGAGGACCCCUGCUCCCUCAGUGUGGAGAAUGAGAACUACGCCCGGCACUGGUGCUCGCGCCUAACCGACCCCAAUGGUGCCUUCUCGCGCUGCCAUUCCGUCAUCAACCCCAAGCCCUUCCACUCGAACUGCAUGUUUGACACCUGCAACUGUGAGCGGAGUGAGGACUGCCUGUGCGCCGCGCUGUCCUCCUAUGUGCACGCCUGCGCCGCCAAGGGCGUGCAGCUCAGCAGCUGGAGGGACGGCGUCUGCACCAAGUACAUGCAGAACUGCCCCAAGUCCCAGCGCUACGCCUACGUGGUGGAUGCCUGCCAGCCCACUUGUCGCGGCCUGAGUGAGGCCGACGUCACCUGCAGCGUUUCCUUCGUGCCUGUGGACGGCUGCACCUGCCCCGCGGGCACCUUCCUCAAUGACGCGGGCGCCUGUGUGCCCGCCCAGGAGUGCCCCUGCUACGUUCACGGCACCGUGCUGGCUCCUGGAGAGGUCGUGCAUGACGAAGGCGCCAUGUGUUCAUGUAUGGGUGGGAAGCUGAGCUGCCUGGGAGCCUCUCUGCAGAAAAGCACAGGGUGUGCAGCCCCCAUGGUGUACCUGGACUGCAGCAACAGCUCGGCGGGCACCCCUGGGGCCGAGUGCCUCCGGAGCUGCCACACCCUGGACGUGGGCUGUUUCAGCACACACUGUGUGUCCGGCUGUGUCUGUCCCCCGGGGCUGGUGUCGGAUGGCAGUGGGGGCUGCAUUGCCGAGGAGGACUGCCCCUGCGCGCACAACGAGGCCACCUACAAGCCUGGAGAGACCAUCAGGGUCGACUGCAACACCUGCACCUGCAGGAACCGGAGAUGGGAGUGCAGCCACCGGCUCUGCCUGGGCACCUGCGUAGCCUACGGGGACGGCCACUUCAUCACCUUUGAUGGCGAGCGCUACAGCUUUGAAGGCAGCUGCGAGUACAUCUUGGCCCAGGUACGCCGCCCCCUCGCCCGCUCCUGCAGGCCGGGCACACUCCAGCCCGCGGCCAACAGCUUGUCUCUUUCUGGCCCAGGACUACUGUGGGGACACCACCACCCACGGGACCUUCCGCAUCAUCACCGAGAACAUACCCUGUGGGACCACCGGCACCACCUGCUCCAAGGCCAUCAAGCUGUUUGUGGAGAGCUACGAGCUGAUCCUCCAGGAGGGGACCUUUAAGGUGGUGGCAAGAGGGCCGGGUGGGGACCCGCCCUACAAGAUCCGCUACAUGGGGAUCUUCCUGGUCAUCGAGACCCGCGGGAUGGCCGUGUCCUGGGACCGGAAGACCAGUGUGUUCAUCCGACUGCACCAGGACUACAAGGGCAGGGUCUGCGGCCUGUGCGGGAACUUCGACGACAACGCCAUCAAUGACUUUGCCACGCGGAGCCGGUCCGUGGUGGGGGACGUGCUGGAGUUCGGGAACAGCUGGAAGCUCUCCCCCUCCUGCCCGGAUGCCCUGGCGCCCAAGGACCCCUGCACGGCCAACCCCUUCCGCAAGUCCUGGGCCCAGAAGCAGUGCAGCAUCCUCCACGGCCCCACCUUCGCCACCUGCCGCUCUCAGGUUGACUCCACCAAGUACUACGAGGCCUGCGUGAACGAUGCGUGUGCCUGUGACUCGGGUGGUGACUGCGAGUGUUUCUGCACGGCUGUGGCUGCCUACGCCCAGGCUUGCCACGACGCAGGCCUGUGUGUGUCCUGGCGGACUCCGGACACCUGCCGUGAGUCGGGCUCUGUCCGUGGUGCUGAAGGGUGGAGCAGCCCGGGCAGGGGAGGAGGUGUGGCAGCCUCCGUAGGUGCAUUGACCUGGGCCUGAGCCGCACACAGACAUCCAACACGCAUGUGCCUCCACGUGAGUGCACACGUUCCUAUGCACAGAGGAAGACCUGUGCAAAACCACCAGACAGGUCACCCCAGCAUGAGACGGCUCCUGGGGACGAGAGUUCCAAGGGCAGGGCUGGGGAGUGGAGGGGAAGGUGAGGCACCACCCGGCCCGAGGCCCUGCAUGUCUGGGACAAGCCCGGGUCUGGCCCUGGGGACACCGGCCCCCACACCCGGGGUAGGGGCUGCCCUGCACAACAGGGGUGAGGGCCAGUGGGCGCCUCCUUAGCCUCUGCCCUCUGCGCCCCAGCCUUGUUCUGUGACUUCUACAACCCACACGGGGGCUGUGAGUGGCACUACCAGCCCUGCGGGGCACCCUGCCUAAAAACCUGCCGGAACCCCAGUGGGCACUGC